rnacentral:sRNA from 1 species
GACGCGGCGCCAGCUGUAGGAAUUGAUGUUGGCGGACGGCUUUGCCGUCGGCUGGUAGUGGUUGGAAAUGCCUGGCAGCCGGCCCUCCGAAAGCCGUUUGAUCGCCGUGGCGUUGGUUA